rnacentral:rRNA from 1 species
CCCGCGACAAGCGGUGGAGCAUGUGGUUUAAUUCGUAAGCAACGCGAAGAACCUUACCAGGUCUUGACAUCCCGAUGCUAUUCUAGAGAUAGAAAGUUACUUCGGUACAUCGGUGACAGGUGGUGCAUGGUUGUCGUCAGCUCGUGUCGUGAGAUGUUGGGUUAAGUCCCGCAACGAGCGCAACCCCUAUUGUUAGUUGCCAUCAUUCAGUUGGGCACUCUAGCGAGACUGCCGGUAAUAAACCGGAGGAAGGUGGGGAUGACGUCAAAUCAUCAUGCCCCUUAUGACCUGGGCUACACACGUGCUACAAUGGUUGGUACAACGAGUUGCGAGUCGGUGACGGCGAGCUAAUCUCUUAAAGCCAAUCUCAGUUCGGAUUGUAGGCUGCAACUCGCCUACAUGAAGUCGGAAUCGCUAGUAAUCGCGGAUCAGCACGCCGCGGUGAAUACGUUCCCGGGCCUU